rnacentral:rRNA from 1 species
CUGACACGAUGUUAGGCCUGUGAACCCGCUGAAUUUAAGCAUAUUAGUAGGCGGCGGAAGAUAACCCAAAAGGGAUUCCUUCAGUAAUGGCGAAUGAACGGGGAAAAGCUCAGCAAAGAAAUCAGGGACCCCGGCCUUGAGUUGUGGACUUGAGAGGUAUUGCCAAUGGUGGCGCAGGUGCGGGCCUCUUGGAAAAGGGCACCACAGAGGGUGUGAGUCCUGUUUGUCAUCUGUAGUCCGCCAUGUACGGCAUGAUUCCUCAGAGUCACGUUCCUUGGAAUUGGAGCGCGAAGGUGGUGGUGGCUUUCAUCUCAAGCUAAGUAUGGGUUCGAGACCGAUAGCAAACAAGUACCAUGAGGGAAGAUUGAAAAGAGCUUUGGAAAGAGAGUUAAAAGUGCCCGAACUUGCUGAUAGGGAAGCGAAGGGAGCUGACGUUGCUUGGUGACAUAUUCCGCGCAAGAGUAGGAUGGGUUCUGAUUGCAAUCUGCGUAGUGCUUCUUGCCGUGCGUGUCGAUGCCAAGCAAUGAGUGGGGAGAGCACCAGGGAUAAUGAUUGUUUCUGUCCCCGGGUGGACGAAGGUGCCUGGUCGCAUCCAUUUGUGGGCUGAAACAAAUGGUGGCUGGUUGCAGCGCCCUGUGCCUGCUAGGCAGUUGGGGUGCAGCCCUGAUACGCAGACGAGGACAAAGUGCUUCUGUUCGACCCGUCUU